rnacentral:lncRNA from 1 species
CAUACUGAUACAUAUAUUACAUAUACACAACUUCACACAUUUUACUGGACCUUUAAAUCAUGAAGCAGUACAUUCUUAAAAGUUGUCAAAUUGCAAGAGAUCUCACCUCAUCCACUUUCAAUGUCUUCUUCAUACUGAUACAUAUAUUUCAUAUACACAACUUCACACAUUUUACUGGACCUUUAAAUCAUGAAGCAGUACAUUCUUAAAAGUUGUCAAAUUGCAAGAGAUCUCACCUCAUCCACUUUCAAUGUCUUCUUCAUACUGAUACAUAUAUUUCAUAUACACAACUUCACACAUUUUACUGGACCUUUAACUCAUGAAGCAAUACAUUCUUAAAGUUGUCAAAUUGCAAGAGAUCUCACCUCAUCCACUUUCAAGAGGUCUUCUUCAUACUUAUACGCAUGUUUCAUACACACAACUUCACACAUUUUACUGG